rnacentral:tRNA from 1 species
GGAUUGUGGCUCCGUGGUAGAGCGCUCGCCUAGCACAUACGGGGGCCCUGGGUUCGAUCCUCAGCACCA